rnacentral:SRP_RNA from 1 species
UCUAGUCUGGUGUAUGCCUGUAGUCCUAGCUACUUGGGAAGCUGAGGCCAGAGGAUUGCUUGAGUCCAGUUCUGGGCAGCAGCGUACUAUGCUGACCUGAUGUCUGCACUAAGUUUGGCAUCAAUACAGUGACCUUCUGGGAGUGGGAGAUCACCUGGAUGCCUAAGGAGGGGGUGAACAGGUCCAGGUUGGAAGUGAAGCAGGUUAAAGCUCCCAUGCUGAUCAGACAAAAACACACCUACAAGUUUGAUGCGAUCCAAAGUUCUUGUCUCU